ensembl:lncRNA
CUCAUCCAGCAGACAGGACACCCACCAGUCCCCUGUACCCCACCAUGUCCCCUCAUCCAGCAGGCAGGACACCCACCAGUCCCCUGUACCCCACCAUGUCCCCUCAUCCAGCAGACAGGACACCCACCAGUCCCCUGUACCCCACCAUGUCCCCUCAUCCAGCAGACAGGACACCCACCAUUCCCCUGUACCCCACCAUGUCCCCUCAUCCAGCAGGCAGGACACCCACCAGUCCCCUCUACCCCACCAUGUCCCUCAUCCAGCAGACAGGACACCCACCAGUCCCCUCUACCCCACCAUGUCCCCUCAUCCAGCAGACAGGACACCCACCAGUCCCCUGUACCCCACCAUGUUCUCUCAUCCAGCAGACAGGACACCCACCAGUCCCCUGUACCCCACCAUGUUCUCUCAUCCAGCAGACAGGACACCCACCAGUCCCCUGUACCCCACCAUGUUCUCUCAUCCAGCAGACAGGACACCCACCAGUCCCCUGUACCCCACCAUGUUCUCUCAGCCAGCAGACAGGACACCCACCAGUCCCCUGUACCCCACCAUGUUCUCUCAUCCAGCAGACAGGACACCCACCAGUCCCCUCUACCCCACCAUGUCCUCUCAUCCAGCAGGCAGGACAGCCACCAGUCCCCUGUACCCCACCAUGUCCUCUCAUCCAGCAGGCAGGACACCCACCAGUCCCCUGUACCCCACCAUGUUCUCUCAUCCAGCAGGCAGGACACCUACCAGUCCCCUGUACCCCACCAUGUCCUCUCAUCCUGGGUUCUUAGUAUUCAUGGCCAUAAUGCUGCCUCCCUGGGGAGGGAGAGAGAGGUAAUACCUGCUACUCCCUAUCCUCUCCUCCACUGUUCAUUUCAUCCCUCUAUCCUCCACGCUUCCCUAGUCACUGUCCUUAUCCUCCCUUCCUUCUCUUCACCCUUUCAUCCCUCCAUCCUCCACUCUUCCCUAGUCACUGUCCUUAUCCUCCCUUCCUUCUCUUCACCCUUUCAUCCCUCCAUCCUCCACUCUUCCCUAGUCACUGUCCUUAUCCUCCCUUCCUUCUCUUCACCCUUUCAUCCCUCCAUCCUCCACUCUUCCCUAGUCACUGUCCUCAUCCUCCCUUCCUUCUCUUCACCCUUUCAUCCCUCCAUCAUCCACUCUUCCCUAGUCACUGUCCUUAUCCUCCCUUCCUUCUCUUCACCCUUUCAUCCCUCCAUCCUCCACUCUUCCCUAGUCACUGUCCUUAUCCUCCCUUCCUUCUCUUCACCCUUUCAUCCCUCCAUCCUCCACUCUUCCCUAGUCACUGUCCUUAUCCUCCCUUCCUUCUCUUCACCCCUUCAUCCCUCCAUCCUCCACUCUUCCCUAGUCACUGUACCCAUCUUCCCCUCUUGCCUUCCAUCCCUCACUCCACUCCUCCCUAAUAAGCGCCCCCAAUCCUCCCCUCCAUCCCUCUAUUUCUCUUCAACCUCCCCUCGAUCCCUCUUUUUCUCUUCAAUCUAUCCCUCCAUCCUCUCCUAGUCCCC